rnacentral:rRNA from 1 species
ACUCCUACGGGAGGCAGCAGUGGGGAAUAUUGCGCAAUGGGGGAAACCCUGACGCAGCGACGCCGCGUGAGUGAAGAAGUAUUUCGGUAUGUAAAGCUCUAUCAGCAGGGAAGAAAAUGACGGUACCUGACUAAGAAGCCCCGGCUAACUACGUGCCAGCAGCCGCGGUAAU